UCAUAUGCUUGUCUUAAAGAUUAAGCCAUGCAUGUCUAAGUAUAAGCUUUUAUACGGCUAAACCGCGAAUGGCUCAUUAAAACAGUUAUAGUUUAUUUGAUGGUCUUUACUACAUGGAUAACCGUGGUAAUUCUAUGGCUAAUACAUGCGCACAUGCCUCUUCCCCUGGAAGGGCAGUGUUUAUUAGAUACAGAACCAACCCACCUUCCGGUGGUCCUCAGGUGAUUCAUAGUAACCGAACGGAUCGCGUUGACUUCGGUCUGCGACGGAUCAUUACAAGUUUCUGACCUAUCAGCUUUCGACGGUACUGUAUUGGACUACCGUGGCAGUGACGGGUAACGGGGAAUUAGGGUUCGAUUCCGGAGAGGGAGCCUGAGAAACGGCUACCACAUCUAAGGAAGGCAGCAGGCGCGCAAAUUACCCAAUCCUGAUUCAGGGAGGUAGUGACAAGAAAUAACAACACUGGAAAUUUCAUUUCUAGUGAUUGGAAUGAUAGGAAUCCAAACCCCUUUCAGAGUAACAAUUGGAGGGCAAGUCUGGUGCCAGCAGCCGCGGUAAUUCCAGCUCCAAUAGCGUAUAUUAAAGUUGUUGCAGUUAAAAAGCUCGUAGUUGGAUUUCUGCUGGAAGCAGCCAGUCCGCCCUCAGGGGUGUGCACUUGGUGAAUUCUAGCAUCCUUCUGGAUUUCUCCACACUUCAUUGUGUGGAGUUUUUUCCAGGACUUUUACUUUGAGAAAAUUAGAGUGUUUCAAGCAGGCUUGUCGCCUUGAAUACUGCAGCAUGGAAUAAUAAGAUAGGAUUUCGGCCCUAUUUUGUUGGUUUCUAGGACUGAAGUAAUGAUUAAUAGGGACGGUUGGGGGCAUUCGUAUUUAACUGUCAGAGGUGAAAUUCUUAGAUUUGUUAAAGACGAACUACUGCGAAAGCAUUUGCCAAAGAUGUUUUCAUUAAUCAAGAACGAAAGUUAGGGGCUCGAAGACGAUCAGAUACCGUCGUAGUCUUAACCAUAAACUAUGCCGACUAGAGAUAGGAAAACGUCAUGCUUGACUUCUCCUGCACCUUAUGAGAAAU
rnacentral:rRNA from 1 species